UACGUAGGGGGCGAGCGUUGUCCGGAAUCAUUGGGCGUAAAGCGCGUGUAGGCGGCCCGGUAAGUCCGCUGUGAAAGUCCAGGCUCAACCCUGGGAUGCCGGUGGAUACUGUCGGGCUCGAGUCCGGAAGAGGCGAGUGGAAUUCCUGGUGGUAGCGGUGAAAUGCGCAGAUAUCAGGAGGAACACCAAUGGCGAAGGCAGCUCGCUGGGACGUGACUGACGCUGAGAGAGAAAGCUAGGGGAGCGAAUGGG
rnacentral:rRNA from 1 species